rnacentral:misc_RNA from 1 species
UUAAGUUCAGCGGGUAUCCCUACCUGAUCCGAGGUCAACCAUAGAAAAUUAGGGGGUUAAUGGCAAGCAACCUAAAGGGCCUGUAGCGAGGAGAAUUACUACGCUCAGGACCCCACGGCCGCCGCACACUGAUUUUAAGGCCCGUCAUCUUACUGACGAAGCCCAAUACCAAGCAGAGCUUGAGGGGUUGAAAUGACGCU